CAGCUCACUUGGCAAGAGGCACUUGACGGUAAAAGACGUUUUGCUGUUAGCCCCCUAACAAGGGCUCUGGCUUCAGGAAACCCUGGAAUGAGAGCCUUUUCAGAUGCUACAGACAAUGGCUCAUCCCUCCUCCCCACUGCCUCUGGCCAUCUGCCAGGAGGUCCCCUAAAGUAAUUCAAAGUGGCCUAGGUCAGACCAGUCUAGGCCAGGCCAAAUCUCUGAGCCCUCACUGGGAAGAAUCCCAUCCCCUCCUCAUCAGCACAGGGGAAGAGGGACAUGUGAUGAAGAUUUGACCUUGGCAGAAAUAGAUUGGAGAAGAAGAUGCCCCACACCACCAACAGAGUCCCACGCUGGCUCAGGCAGAAGCUCCAGAGCAAGAUCCAGAAGAACCUCAAGAACUAGGGCCAGCUCCAAGGCUAGAGCCCGCUACAGCUCAGAGCCACAGAUUCAGAUUCACAGCCAGAGGAGGCUCAAGCCACUGCUCUCAUUGAACUUUAAGACCUAGAACAACCACCUACAUCAUCUCCGCAACUAGCCUCAGCUACUGAGCUGCAAGGAGUGCCCGCUACUGCCCCCGAGAAUCCCUUCCCCUCCCUUGUAAGAGCAUGGUUUCAACUAUUUGUUUUUAUCUUACUUUUACUUAAUGGUUUCCCAUAUUUUAUCUUAUAAUAUUCACUUAAAUUAAAUUUAACUCUUCUAUCCAUUUUAAUUGUACACUUAACUGUCAUGAAGUACACUCAAGAUGUUGUACAACCAUCCCCACGAUCUAGUUCAAGAACAUUUUCAUCACAGAGAAACCCUGUACCCAUGAAUCAGUCAGUCUUCCCUCCUCUCACCCCCAGUCCCUGAAAACCACUGAUCUUUUUUCUGAUUCCACUGAUUUAUCUCUUCUGGAUACUUCCCAUAAGUGGAAUCCUACAAUAUAUGGCCUUCUGUGUCUGGCUAUGUAAAGUAGGAGGAGAGUGAUGAAGAUUUUUUGGCUGUUUUCAGAAAAAUACCAGUUUUUAUUAAGAAGAAAAAUCCCUGAUAGAUCAAAGAUUUCAUAUAAAAAUGAAGCCUCGAUAUUAAACAUUUCAUCAUCUUGGGAUAGGGAUCAUUUUAUAAGUGUGAAAAAAGAGCUGGAAAGUAUAAGGCAAAUGUCUCGGGCAGUGAGACACCUUUCAAAUCUUUCAUUUCCUUUGAAAGGAGAUGGUUGCAUUUUUCUAAUGUAUAUAUUACAAAAGUAUUAAAAUCACACACUAAAUACUUCCAUUUAGUACUAACAUAUUAUGUAAUAAAGUGCAUUAUACAGUU
rnacentral:lncRNA from 1 species